CUUGAACGAGCCCAACCAGAGCGGCCGGUCCGCCGGCCGGCCCUGCCCGUACGUGGCGAGCAGCGCCUGCGCCUC
rnacentral:antisense_RNA from 1 species